ACAGUGUUCUACUUGCGGGCCAAUUUUUUACAUCGGGGAAGGCUGAAAAUCAUUUCAAGGUGGAAGAUAAUUUGACAUUUCUUCAACGGAACCCAGCACCUGAAUAUGGCUGAGUAUAUUUGAUUUAAUAUCGAUACUGCUUAGUGUUCUUUGUUACUUCAGCUUUUGUACGUUCUAAAUAUUCAGUCAUUAAUUGCCACAGAAGUUAAACCCUACCCAAUGGAAUGACGUUAAACAACGACUUUGGUGCAGAGUUACCAACUGGAUAAUAUCAAAGCUAAAAUAAUGGCCGUCAUUCCCACAUGUUACAGUAGAAGAUACUGUAGAACUGUACAAGGUUAAAAAGGUAACAUGUAGUUUGUCCCAAGGUGUCUGCCUCCUCACCCAGAGCAAGACGUCCACCUCCUCACCCAGAGCCAGACCUCCACCUCCUGUCAGAAGUCCUCCAGAACAGCUGAAAGGUGAGGCUGAGAGGCUGGGGACCGGAGGCUUGUGGUGCCAGGGUGGACCGGAGACUGAGGCUGGAGACCAGGGGCCUGCAGCACCGGACCAGAGGACCAGGAAUCCAUGGCUGAAGGAGCUGAUGGAGGAGCCGUGCUGAAGGAGCUGAUGGAGAAGCCGUGCUGAAGGAGCUGAUGGAGGAGCCGUGCUGAAGACCCUGGGCUGGUGGAGGAGCUGGUGGAGGGCCUGCCUGGUGAAUGACGUCUGUCGUGGGGUAGAUGGAGCUUGACUCUGAAACCAGGACUCUGUCUGAGGAGAGCUGCUGGAGGAGCUGAGACGCUGGAGGACGACUAGGAAUUGACCAACAAGGAUUCCUCAACGUGUUUCUGGAGCGGAGGCGAGCUGGUAGGGGAGCCGUGAAUCUGGAGGAUGACCAUCACUCUACCAACAAGGGUUACUUUAGGGCCAGACUCGCGCUGUUUGUUCCAGACCAGGACUCUGGCUGAGGAGAGCUGAUGGAGGAGCCAAGACUCUGGAGGACGACUUCACUCCACCAACCAGGAUCCUCAGACAAAUUACGUUUGCAACCAGACCAGGAAUCUGGAGGACUGAUGGAGAAGCCAUACAUCUGGAAGGCAAAUCCUGAGGACCACCAGGACUCUACCAUCAAGGAUUCCUCAUUAAUGUGCAUUAUCUGGACGUAGUGGACUAGACACACCUGAGCUGAACCUCACCUGAUCCUGUUUGGUCGGGGGUAGACACACCUGAGCUAAACCCGCCCUGAUCCUGACAUCCUGCUGGACCCGUCUCCUCAGUUCAUCUGAGCCUCGUCCUCCAGAAGACCUGCUGAGCUCAGCAGUCUGAGGCUGAUGGAUCAAUGACCUCCAGUGGGAGUGAUCUUCUUGACCCCACAUGUAACCGUGUGCUUCCACACGCCUUUUCCUCACGUCUGUCACUAACCUCACUACCUCACUACUUCACUACUCUCUACUGCUUCCUCCUUUCUUCCUUCUCUGUGGUUCAAACCUUUACACUGAAGGCGCGUCUUCCUGCCCUCAGAGGGUUUAGCGUUAGGGUUGAGAGUCAGGGUUUAGAGUCAGGGACAGAGCUGGUCAGGGAGGACUGCUUUUACACAAACCUCUUCACUUGCUUCGGAAUGGUGGUGACAUUUUGAAAAGAUUCAUUUGGGAAAAUGUUUUCCUCUGCUUUCCUUUACAAAUUGUAUUCAACUUCUGGCAAGUGUUUUUGUUUAUAUAUUAAAAUCCCACAUUG